AUGUUUGAAGAAAUAAUUGAGAAAUUGGGUUAUGAAAUGUCAGGUAGAAUUGAUAUCUAUUGGUUGCCCCCUGGGUGUCAGCUUAUUGAAGGUGGUGCUAGGCUUUUGGCUAAUGAUACUGAUGUGGAUUGUAUGUAUCUAAAGAUAAAUCUAGGGCACCACUUUCAAAUGAUAUACCUGGAUCAUUUAGAUAGCCACAUUUCCGCAGGAGGAGCAGAAUGGGAUGAUGUUGUGGCUAAUCCAGUAGCACAAAUCCCUCCUGUUUUCAGCCUAAGGAAGAAGGAAAUGAAUGCAAGUGAGAACAAAGAUCCCUGUGAAAGCAAUGUUUCUUGUGGUGUUGUGGAUGAAAGUGUUGAAAUUGAGAGCACUUAG
rnacentral:rRNA from 1 species